ensembl:lncRNA
CUUAAUUCCUUGGCAAGCAGGAGAUGGGAACUUGUUUAGACAUGUAGACGUGAUGCUGUGGAGAUGACAGAUAGCUGCUGCUCUGCAGACAGCUCAGCUCUAAAACACAGCACAAGGGGGGCUGGGAUGCAGAACAGAACAUCCCACAGCCGAUCCCUCUGCACUGAGCCCUGCAGCGUGUCCUCCAUCCUCCAAACAGCACAGAAGUGGCUGAAGACUUACCCUUCCAGCACUCCCUGCAUGGAGCAGGGCUUGGCUGGCCCUCUGUAGGAUUUCCUCAUUCCUUCUGCAGCCAUUGGGGCCAUUUACUCUUCCUGAAGAGCACCACAACAUUCCCAACCCUUAUGGGAGAGAGGAGCUCAGGAAGCACCACUGCUUCCAUCACAUCUGCCACAGACCUGUGGGCUGCGGUGUGCAGAGGGGAAUGGAAGGACAGCAGCAAGCAUGCAUUUCCUGCUCAGCCCCUCAGAACCCAGACUUUCAUCGACCACCAUCUCCCUCCCCUCCAGCCAAGUGAAAUCCUCUGGAUCUCAGCCGGGCUUCAGAUGGAGGAGCUGAGAGAACAGCAUCAACUCAGCCCAGAAGCAUUUCAGCCAUCAGUCUUUCGCACCGAAUGCGCUCCUGCCUCAAACCCGCUGCUGUCACAUCAAUCAUUUAAAUUUGAGAGGCUAAAGAACCUAAAAUGAAGUUCCCUCGAUGCACCAUUAACCUUCUUAUGUAUCUACUGCUUUCAACCAAGCUGCAGCAAACCCUUCUCAGACCACUCUUCCUAAACACCAAGCACCCAGAUCCCUCCAAGCAAACAAGGUCAGGCAGCCAAGAACAUUUAUUCUCCAAAGCAAAACCACAUAACGCUCCUGACACAACAUUCCCAAUGUCCCAUCCUUCUUAGCAAGGAACAUAAACCCCAGAAGCAGCCCAGUACCUGUCCUGCAGAGCCCAGACGUUCCUCAGCCCCCGUCAGAUGAUUUCUUUGCUCUUUU